GCGGUGUCACGGCGGCCUCCAGGCUCUGGGGCUGGAGCGGGUGUUGCGGGAGGAGCUGGUGGAGGACCUGGACGAGGAGGGUCCCUGGGUCUGGGUGGUGUCCGUGGGUGACUGUAGCGGUGUCACUAUGUCAUGGAGUCACGGUGUUGGUGAAGUCACGGUGUUGGUGAAGUCACGGUGCUGGUGAAGUCACGGUGUUGGCGGUGUCACGGCGGCCUCCAGGCGCUGGGGCUGGAGCGGGUGUCGCGGGAGGAGCUGG
rnacentral:lncRNA from 1 species